rnacentral:rRNA from 1 species
AUGAACGCUGGCGGCGUGCCUAAUACAUGCAAGUCGAGCGAACAGACGAGGAGCUUGCUCCUCUGACGUUAGCGGCGGACGGGUGAGUAACACGUGGAUAACCUACCUAUAAGACUGGGAUAACUUCGGGAAACCGGGGCUAAUACCGGAUAAUAUAUUUAACCGCAUGGUUCAAUAGUGAAAGACGGUUUUGCUGUCACUUAUAGAUGGAUCCGCGCCGCAUUAGCUAGUUGGUAAGGUAACGGCUUACCAAGGCGACGAUGCGUAGCCGACCUGAGAGGGUGAUCGGCCACACUGGAACUGAGACACGGUCCAGACUCCUACGGGAGGCCGCAGUAGGGAAUCUUCCGCAAUGGGCGAAAGCUUGACGGAGCAACGCCGCGUGAGUGAUGAAGGUCUUCGGAUCGUAAAACUCUGUUAUUAGGGAAGAACAAAUGUGUAAGUAACUAUGCACGUCUUGACGGUACCUAAUCAGAAAGCCACGGCUAACUACGUG